rnacentral:rRNA from 1 species
GACGAACGCUGGCGGCGUGCCUAACACAUGCAAGUAGAACGCUGAAGAGAUGAGCUUGCUCUUCGUGGGUGAGUCGCGAACGGGUGAGUAACGCGUAGGUAACCUGCCUUGUAUUGGGGGAUAACUAGUGGAAACGGUAGAUAAUAGCGUAUGAGCAUGGAUGACAAAUGUGGGUUUUUUAAAAGGGGCAAAUUGUCCACUACAACGUGGCUCUGCGGUGGAUUAGUUAGGAGGUGAGGUAAUGGCGCACUUAGGCGUCGUUGCCUUGCCGCCUUGAGAGGGUGAGCGGCCACCCUGGGACGGAGACCCGGCCCAGUCGCCUACGGGAGGCAGCAGUAGGGAAUCUUCGGCAAGCGGGGGAAACCUGACCGAGAAACGCCGCGGGAGUGAGGAAGAUUUUCGGAUCGUAAAGCUCGGUUGUAAGUCAAGAACGGGUGUGAGAGUGGAAAGUUCACACUGUGACGGUAGCUUACCAGAAAGCGACGGCUAACUACGUG